rnacentral:rRNA from 1 species
CGGUGACAGGUGGUGCGAUGGUUGUCGUCAGCUCGUGUCGUGAGAUGUUGGGUUAAGUCCCGCAACGAGCGCAACCCCUAUUGUUAGUUGCCAUCAUUCAGUUGGGCACUCUAGCGAGACUGCCGGUAAUAAACCGGAGGAAGGUGGGGAUGACGUCAAAUCAUCAUGCCCCUUAUGACCUGGGCUACACACGUGCUACAAUGGUUGGUACAACGAGUUGCGAGUCGGUGACGGCGAGCUAAUCUCUUAAAGCCAAUCUCAGUUCGGAUUGUAGGCUGCAACUCGCCUACAUGAAGUCGGAAUCGCUAGUAAUCGCGGGUCAGCAGACCGCGGUGAAUACGUUCCCGGGUUCU